rnacentral:rRNA from 1 species
GCAGUCGAGCGGCCAUAGCUUUAUGUCAGCGGCAGACGGGUGAGUAACGCGUGGGAACGUACCUUUUGGUUCGGAACAACACAGGGAAACUUGUGCUAAUACCGGAUAAGCCCUUACGGGGAAAGAUUUAUCGCCGAAAGAUCGGCCCGCGUCUGAUUAGCUAGUUGGUGAGGUAACGGCUCACCAAGGCGACGAUCAGUAGCUGGUCUGAGAGGAUGAUCAGCCACAUUGGGACUGAGACACGGCCCAAACUCCUACGGGAGGCAGCAGUGGGGAAUAUUGGACAAUGGGCGCAAGCCUGAUCCAGCCAUGCCGCGUGAGUGAUGAAGGCCCUAGGGUUGUAAAGCUCUUUUGUGCGGGAAGAUAAUGACGGUACCGCAAGAAUAAGCCCCGGCUAACUUCGUGCCAGCAGCCGCGGUAAUACGAAGGGGGCUAGCGUUGCUCGGAAUCACUGGGCGUAAAGGGUGCGUAGGCGGGUCUUUAAGUCAGGGGUGAAAUCCUGGAGCUCAACUCCAGAACUGCCUUUGAUACUGAAGAUCUUGAGUUCGGGAGAGGUGAGUGGAACUGCGAGUGUAGAGGUGAAAUUCGUAGAUAUUCGCAAGAACACCAGUGGCGAAGGCGGCUCACUGGCCCGAUACUGACGCUGAGGCACGAAAGCGUGGGGAGCAAACAGGAUU